AUUAUACGGCAUUUCAUCGUGAUGGGAUUCGUCGCUUGCCUGUUACAUUGAGGCACUUGUAUGGUUCCUUGGAUAUGGUCAAAUAUCCGUGGGAUACAUAUACUCAAUUCCAAUGUAUGUAUAUAUGUAAUAAAUAAUUCCGGUCAUUCGCUUGGUUCUUACGAUUCAAGAAUUAAAAGUAGGACUGGGGCAAUCAAAAUCUUGAAACCUCAAAACCUCACAACUCUUCUAAACCUAAAACUUUCUACUAUUUUGGUGCUUCGAAACUCUCAUAAUCCAAAUGAAUAAUAAUUUAUAUAAAUCAAUGUAAGUAAUAUGACUAUAUUAUUAUAAUAUUAUAUCUAUAAUAAUUAUAUAAUAUCUAUAAUAUACAUAUGCAAUUUUUCAUUAUAAUUGUUAGUAAA